AUGCAGAAGCAUUACACAGUGGCCUGGUUUCUUUACUCAGCCCCUGGGGUAGAUCCCAGCCCCCCAUGUAGGUCCCUUGGCUGGAAAAGGAAGAAGGAGUGGUCAGAUGAAUCUGAGGAGGAGCCGGAGAAGGAGCUCGCCCCUGAGCCUGAGGAGACCUGGGUAGUGGAGACGCUGUGUGGGCUUAAGAUGAAGCUGAAGCAACAGCGAGUGUCACCCAUCCUCCCUGAGCACCACAAGGACUUCAACAGUCAGCUUGGCCCCUGGGGUAGAUCCCAGCCCCCCGCAUAGGUCCUUUUGCUGGAAAAGGAAGAGGGAGUGGUGGGACGAAUCUGAGGAGUCGUUGGAGGAGGAGCCACGGAAGGUGCUCGCCCCUGAGCCUGAGGAGAUCUGGGUGGCGGAGAUGCUGUGUGGCCUCAAGAUGAAGCUGAAGCGACGGCGAGUGUUGCUCGUGCUCCCUGAGCACCACGAGGCCUUCAACAGGCUGCUUAGGAUCCUGUCAUUAAAAGAUUCCUGGCCUGGGACAAAGAUCUGAGGGUGUCGGACAAGGUAAGGUAUCUCCUGGCUAUGGUCAUAGUGUAUUUCAGCCGGGCCGGCCUCCCCUCCUGGCAAUACCAACGCAUUCAUUUCUUCCUGGCUCUUACCUGGCCAAUGACAUGGAGGAGGACGACGAGGACUCCAAACAAAACAUCUUCCACUUCCUGUAUGGGAAGACCCGCUCUCGCAUACCCUUGCUCCGUAAGCGUUGGUUCCAGUUAGGCCGUUCCAUGAACCCGAGGGCCAGGAAGAACCGCUCUCGCAUACCCUUGCUCCGUAAGCGUCGGUUC
rnacentral:lncRNA from 1 species